CCCAUCUUCGUUCUCCUCCAGGUCAUGCGCCGACGAAGAUCCUCCGCUCGCCAAACCUCGUCUGCGUCCGCAGCUAUUCUUCGUCCGCCCGCGCCGCCAUCCUUCGCACCACUGCCACGUCGAGUCGCACUCCCGCACGGACAGAUCAACUAGGUUAGGUAUCUUUGAGUUCAAUUUGGGGCACGUUCUUCGAUUAGUAGAGUUGACCGAUUUUGGGCGCCUAUUGUUGCUCUGUCUGCGCCGCCAUUGCUGCUCCUCCAGCGCCGCGAACUCUCACGAACGGCUGGACAGCGAGAUUAGCUUACGAAUUCCACGAUUUUAACCAUAUUUUAGUUCAAUUUCAGUAUUUUUUUUAUUGUACUACAGUUGACCAAUCUUGCCUCCUUUCCUGCUUCGCCACCACCAAUUUUUGUAUUCAGUGCAGGCUGUCGACUGGGCUCCUUCGACACGGUCGAUCAAAAUCGGAGGCCCAUGAACUGAAUGCGAACAACAUCGCUUCUUCACGUUCUGAGAGCAGACCCAGCUGCAUAACAGAAAGAACGGUUCUCCUUCUCCACGAAUUAACUUUGUUUUGAGGCGACGUAAUGCUUGAUUCAUGCUGGUAAUUCCGGCCCAUUCAUCUUCAUCCUCAUUCCUGUACUUAUGGCUCGUUCUGUUAUUAUGACGUUUAAUCCUACCGUUACUGUCAGCUCUCCCUUCUCUUUCAUAUAAACUAGAAAAAUACCCCGCGCGUUGCGGCGGGUAUUUGCUAAAGGAAAAUUGUUAAAAUGUGAAAACAAAAUAUUAGUUCUUGAAUAUCAUUUAGGAUAUCAAACACGAUGAGUUCUUUUGGUCAGACCUGUAUAAAGAACAAAUAAGCUGCCUUUUGUUUCGGCAAGAUGAAAACUGAAAACAAAUAGCAUAGUACAUGAAGGUUAAGUUACAGGAUUGAAGCUGACAUCUCGCUAUGCUGAUCCAUAUCCUUCUGACACUUCAGAAUUGUACGAGAGGAAUGUUUAAUCCUGUAACCUAGUGGGGUAGCAUAAUAUAUAUUCGAUUAGCAAAUGAAUAACAUUUAUCACUAAGGUGCAGGAAAAAAUUACCGCUAUUAGCAUGUCAUUUAACCCUGAUCAGCUAACGAAACCAAAGAUAGGAUCGGCAUGGAAGCAGUGCGUCAAAGCCCGAAUGUUGCAUGGGACAGUUUCUCUCAUCUGGAGUCCUCCUUUGUUCCACAUUCGUAUUCACGGACAACUCAAAGCAGCUGUAUGAUCUUCAUUAUUUAGCAAUGUCUGCUAGACAGAUUAUGUAUAUUGAUAUAUAUUGAUGGUUUCGAACACCACAUCCAUUUCUAGGUACCAUGCAGUUUAUUUUGAUUCCAGCUAAAGCUAUAUUAUUGUCUUCUCUUUUUUGUUUUCUAAAAUAUAUUAUCAUGUUCUCGAUACCUUUUUUCUUUUCAUGGGUGAAUAAAUAUGUAUAGAGUUAUAUGCUCAGGUCUCAUAAAACUAUAUAAAAAACUUCUAGGGAUCAGUGAUGCGAAAGGGGGUUAUGCUAAUGAAAGUUCAUAUAAGGAACAUUGCUUGGAUAAUGAUGAGCAUACCCUUUGUUUCUACUCUCUCAAGGGGAACACAAUGUAUCUGUGUAUGAACAAAUCAUGCUGCAGACAAGUUCAGACUCCGGCUUUAGGAAAGGAAGGUUCUGCCUUGUUCAAGAUUUCCUUGUCCAAUCACCAAAAAACAUGUUUGGAGUUGUGUGUGCAAGGUUUAUGAUAAAUAUCACACCUUGGACCGAGAUUCAGGUCCAGCCCGAGCUACAGUUGCAAAGAUGAAUUUGCUUAGUGCUAAAGAAAAAGGACUACAUUAUUUGGACCAUCUUUUUAGGUGCAAUUUUUUAUACUGAUGUGGUAUUAAUUUCAUAAGUUUGAAUCUCAUUCAAAUUUUAUACCCAAUAUGAUUUCUUGGUCAAACUAAGAAGCUCAUGUUACAAGGACGUCCACUGGGUGUUACUAGCAACAACAAUUUGACUGAAUCAGAAGAUACCGAGUACUCCAACUCCAUUGGAACUGAAGAAAUGAAAUUGCACUCCCUAUCUGCCACAGCAGAGGUGCCUCUUACUCUGCCCAUGAUUGCUGCCACACCAAUACCCCUGGUUGAACAGUCCCGAGAAGUCGGUGAAGAUGUUGGAUCCAAUGGAAAGAAGAAUGGCAAAAUAAAUUCAGUUGCUACCACCUUUUGUGUGGCAUCAUUAAGUUCAUAUAUGUGCUUAGCUAACAAUUUACUCCGUCCAUCCCAAAAUAUAAGAUGUUAACAACAUCUUAUAUCACGUAACUGAGAGAGUACAUUGUAACUACAGUGGAGACUGGAGAAACAGAUCGAAAAAAUCAAUCUAGCCAAAAGAAACUGCUCAUGAAUACCUAGCUUGCGCCUUCAUCUACCAUAAGACAUCGCCUCGUGAAGAUCUUGGAUUUGCGAGGAUUGGAAGAACCUAGCUUGCGCCUUCAUCUACCAAUAAUUACUUUACAGCUACAUUAGAAAGUUUAUUGUCAUGUAUUCUGCACUUAUGCAUGCAUAAUGCGUACAUACAAUGUACACAAACCAUAUAUUUGAGAGUUUGAUUAGAAUAUCACGAUACUUUCUGCAG